CGAGGGGACGGAGUGAGCAGAAGUAGGACAGUCAGUCAGAAAACCAGCGGAGUGAAGGGGACAUUCUGGCCGGAAGAGUGGCUCCGGUGCUUUAAUGCGAGCUUUGCUGUUCUGGACACCCAUGCUGGACCGGGAUGCUAGCUGUCAGGGAUUGUUAGCUAGCCGGCUAUCAGGGUGGUUAACGGGGUUCGGCUGAGAAUGUGGCGCUGCUGUAACUGCGGGUUACGUCUCUUGGCUUUAUGCUUUAUGUUGAAGGUUAGCUAUAACAGAAGUGAGACUCUCCCAGGAAAAAAUCCGGCUCAUCUUGUCCGUCACCGUGGCUGAUGGUGGGGAUUAGCUCGCUAGCUUCAUUCGCUGAUCAAGGAGGAAGACGGAGGAGAACUUGUGAUCAGUUAUCGGAACCUCCUUCCUCCUAAUGGACACCAGCUACAUGAGUUAAAGAAGAGAAACAGCGAAAUACAAUAAAAAAUAUCCCGGUAUUGUUCCCACAGUGGGAACAUUCAGGUUAAAGUUUUUUUUUUUUUUUUUGUUUACAGAAACGUGUACAAGCAAAAAACAAACAAACAAAAAAAACAACCUUUUUCUCUCCACUUAAAGCUUAAAUAAAAAAAAUAACAUUGAAGGAUACUGACAUUCAGCUUGUUCCUGUUCAUCAUCAAUCUAAAUGUUUUACUGUCCCAUGUUUAGGCUUUCAAAUGAUUUCAAAAAUGUUCUGGAGCUUUAAUAUUCCAGGCAGGGCUGCAUAAUGUCAGGAAAUGAUGAUGUUUUAGAUGGCAAAUCCACAUUUCUCACUGCUUCUUCUCCUAACUGUUAUGAUGAACACCUGUGACCUUCAGCAUCCGCUGCUGCCAGACUCCAUCCAACAGGCUGGUCGGCAUUAUUCUAGAGGGGACGACUCCAACCUGGAACCCCUCUGUGGCGUUAAUUUUGCACAUUGGCAAUAUAUUUAUUUUGACUAACAAGGUUGAAAUAAAAACUCUAGCCAUAAUUGUUUUUUGGGGGGUUUUUUUACCCAUCAAUUUUUCAAGUGAUGGUAUAUUUAAAUCGAUUAUAUUUUCAUUCCAUUUAGUCAGCUUUCAGUCCCAACAAGAGAAUCCACAUCCAACAAAUGAAUGCAUGUAACUUCUUUUUGUGUCCACAAUGGCAAAAAACCCACUGUCUGUCUCACAACUUCUUGCUGGACCACGCAGUCCUAAAUUCUGCAGCUGCUUGUGGGAAAUCAAAUGUCUGAAUUAAGGGUGCCCCGAUUUAUAGACCAGCCAAUUUUUUUAGUUUUGGGAGAUCAAUGAUUGGCCGAUACUUAUUCUCCGAUAUUAUCUACAUCAGUAGUGGUCUAAAAAAAAAAAAUCAGCCACCGUCCUCUUGUGAGGUUUGA